CAAAAAAAAAUUUUGGUUACCCGCUCGUUUCUCCCUCUUCUCCUCAUCUCCAUUGCGCGCCCUAAAUACCUCAAAUUUUGUACUUAAUUCUUUUUCCCUUUUAAUCUCAAAAUUCCAUGAGUUCCUUUGCCCCAACAUCUCUUAAUACCGUUCCAAUCCCUAAACCUUUUCUUUUUCUCUCCAUGAAUUUAUAUAUAUAUAUAUGCAUAUAACAAAUGAUUCAUUGAUUUGGGGUUUUGUUUCUUUCUGAAUUAGGACAAGUAGGUUUUCCAAUCUAUAUCAAAAGACCACAGGAAUUGAUCUAUGGAAUUCCCAUUAUGAGAGAAUGGAAUAAAAUUACAGGAGGUUGAAGGAGAUAAACAAGAAGUUGAGAAGGGAGAUUAGGCAGAGAAUGGGUGGAGACUUGAAUGAACUUAACAUUAAUGAACUGCAAGCUCUUGAAGCUAAAAUGGAUUCUUCUUUGCUAGCUAUACGUGAGAGAAAGCAUGGAGUCAGAAGAAGUAAUUGAUGCAGAACUCUCAGCUCGUGUUUUGCAGUUGAUAAAUGUCACUGAUAGUGGAUUGCACAGUCAGGUACACUGAGCAUGGUAGCUCGGUUUUGAUGAUAUUUAUUUUUAAUACCUCUAGGAGGAUGAUGGAAGUGAUAGUCUUUCAGUUCAACUAGUAGAUGAAAAACACUGGGAAGAUCUCUUCAUCGUUAUUGCUGUGAGCUAUUUUAAAUAUAUUAUCGUUGGAGAAUGUGAAGAUUUUGACAUAUUUCAAUCACAAGAUGAGCAAGGAGUGUUUAGAGAAAGUUACUCAAACAAUAUCUUUUCUUGCUCAACCACGAGAAUCUCACUUGCUUUUGCUUACGGGAGAGGUGAAGAGGGAUAGAGCUGCAAAGCUUUUGGGUUUGCGUGCAUGCAAUUUUCGGCCACGACACUCAAGCAAACUUGGAAAUGAGUUUCGGGUGUUCACAAACUAUGACCCUGGGGAGAGAUUAGGAGGAUGGGAGCAAGAAUAAUAGGUACCUUUUUCUUGCCAUCGUUUGCUAGGAAUAUUUUUUCAUGGAUGAGCUUCAUGCAACCUAAUUUUUAUCCAUUAUCAAGGAAUUUCCAACACUUACCCUUGGAAAAAUUAACCAGCUUUUCUACUAAUUUUCCCAGAGAAAACAUGCAGAUGAGAAAACUUCCAAGCAAGUUCAUCCUCAUAUUAUGCAUUUUGGUCUACUUUUUUAAACUAGUGCAAUUUUCCUCACUUGUGUAGAUUUCGUAAUACAUAAAACUAUUUAAGGUUGUUUAAAGUUGUACUGACUCAUGCCUACUCAUUUCCAUUUUGAAAUUUAAUUAGGAAGUUGUUCCAAAA